rnacentral:lncRNA from 1 species
GGGUUGACUCGGAGGCUUCUGGGAAUUUCGAGGAGGCUGCGGCUGUGAAGGCCGGGAGCUUUGCCGAGCUCACAGAUGAGAGAGGCAAAGGCCAGGAGGAAGGCAACUGAGCAGAGCCGUCCACCACGACACUCCUCUCUACAGUUUUAAAUCACGCAUCUGGGCUCACCAGUUUGCUAACUGCAUUCCAAGGGGGAAAAAUCAUGUACAACCCCUCACUAGUGUAUAGAACGUUUAAAAGAAUUUUAAAAGAUAUCUAUCUAUAUAUAUAUUAAAAAAAAUCCCCCAGCCCUUGAACAUGGCUGCUACACUGUUACCCAGUAACAAGAACUUCCAAGAAAUGCAGGUGGGAGAAAGAGAUUUUAGAAAUGGCCCCUGUGUCCUUCAAGCUCUGAUAGCUGGAGGUCCUUCUAACCCAAGAGUCAUCUUUGUCCAAAUAACCCCAAACAAACAAACAAACAAACAAAACAAAACAAACAACAAACCAACAGCUAUACCAUUCGAGUGAUUUAUCGUCUCCUCGAAGGUUCUGUGUUCUCCUUCUUAAAAACACCUCUAUAACCUGACACCGGCUGCCGUCAUUCACCCACCGUCCUAAUGAGAGGAGCUGGGAGGUAGCUGAGGUGCCAGUCAGACUGGGGCGGUCACUGCAGGGAAAUCAAUUCACAUGGUGUCACUCUGCACUCUGGGAGAAAUCCUAGCCGGCCCCGCAUGCAGUCAGGGAGCGCCAGGCCUGACCAGCGCUGCAGAGGCUGGUAAUCUAAAGUGUGCUUAAAAAAAAAAAAAACUACACAGCCGGAUGAAUCAGUGGUCAGGAAGUGUCUGCAGACACUUUGAUGAAUCAUUCCUUUUUUUUUCUUUUUUUCUUUUCUUUUUCUUUUUUUUUUUUUAAAUAUCGAGUUGCAGUACAGAAAGAAAUGCAUUUCAUUUUAUUAUUUUCUGUCCUGGAGAAGUUUUGAUAUCAAAAACAAAUUGUAGGAAACAUUCUAGAAACUGUUACUAGGAAGCCAGAACAACUCUACUCUCUGUAGAAAGUUCUGGUGACUGACAGCAAUUUGUUUGCUAAUGGGAAGGCUGCCUUAGAUUGUGUUUAAAAACAUUUUUUUUUAUUUUACUAAAAUGAAGUCUACCCUGGCCCUUGUUACUAGAUUUCUUCUUUCAUGUGUUAUUUUUUAAGUGUUGUGGGCAUGAAUCAAGAUUUUUUUCCCCUCCAGUGAGCUCUUCGAACGUAACUUGUAUUAAAACACGAACCAAACGCCCAGAGGUCUGUCACUAAUGAAGAAAACAGUUUGAGUUAGAAUGUUCAUUUCUUUGAAACAAAUGUGUUCUGUAUUUCUGUAGAUUGUAGUGAUUUGAACACUCAAAUUUUACCAAGCUCUGCACCACACUGAUGGAGAUUUUGAGGGUUGACAAGAAAACACUCAGUUCACAAAACAAAACAAACAAACAAAAAAUAAAAAA